GUUGAAACACCGGUUCCCGUACGAUCACCGAAGUUAAGCAUCAUCAAGUCUGGUUAGUACCUAGAUUGGUGACCGCUUG